UUAAAUGUGUUGCAUUUAAUUAAAAAACACUUUGCUUGGAAAAGACGGAACGCGCUUGAAACCUUCACCACGAAUCGAAUUCCUCAAUUUGGGUCGAUUUCGUGGCCCUUUUUACAGUGGUGACACGCCUCCGUGAUCGCAACAGAUGGAUUUCGCGAACAACGUCCUUUCCAGCAAAGUACGGGAAUCUUAAAAUCAACAAGAGGUUUGAACAUCUUCCUUUCUUCUGCCGCUGUGGUUAACUUCUACAAUUCCUCGGAGGACGGAGGCCGGGACGGCCGGCCUUCACGAUUGUUAGAACGUAACCUGAGAUUCGGGAGAUGGGUGAAAAGACGAUUCAAGAGGCCUUUACAUCCCACAACAACACAUCACUACAUUAGAUGGCCUCCCAGUUUAGAACUGGAACUAAAAUUUGCAACACAAUUGUUAUACAAUAGAUUCCACCCAUCUCCUAGACAUGAACACUGACUGAACACACUCCUCCAUCACAACACCCUCACGGCAUCAUCACCUGGAAUAGAUCAAAUCUAUCCAGACUGAACAUUACACAUCAUAAGAUGAAGAUGACAUAGAGUCUGAUAGUGUCACUUCACUAAAGAUCUAUUGUGCAUCUUCACACUCACAGAUCCGGAUAGCUUCACACACAUAACGAUGGGAAGCUGAUCCCAUGACAUAGCACACGCUAUUCAUCACCACACCCUGCAAACUCAUGGAAAAACACUGGAAACACAUAUUAAUGGCUACAGUCACAAAUCAAUGCAAUGCAUCAAAAAAAAAAAAAAAUCAUAAUGUUUAAACUUUCUUAUUGUUGUUGGGG